rnacentral:rRNA from 1 species
GACGAACGCUGGCGGCGUGCCUAACACAUGCAAGUCGAGCGGGGUCCAUCCGGUAGCAAUACCGGGGAAGACCUAGCGGCGAACGGGUGAGUAACACGUGAGAAACCUGCCCCGAAGUCUGGGAUAACCCCGAGGAAACUCGAGCUAAUACCGGAUGUCUUCUUCUGAUCGCAUGGUCGGAUGAAGAAAAGAUUUAUCGCUUCGGGAGGGUCUCGCGGCCUAUCAGCUAGUUGGCGGGGUAACGGCCCACCAAGGCGUCGACGGGUAGCUGGUCUGAGAGGACGAUCAGCCACACUGGGACUGAGACACGGCCCAGACUCCUACGGGAGGCAGCAGUGGGGAAUAUUGCGCAAUGGGCGAAAGCCUGACGCAGCAACGCCGCGUGCGGGAUGAAGGCCUCGGUGUAACGCUUCACGUGGGGACGAAGUUCAGACGGUACCCGACACGAAGAAGCCCCGGCCGAACUACGUGCCAGCAGCCGCGGUAA